rnacentral:rRNA from 1 species
UACAGGGGGCGCGAGCGUUGCUCGGAAUCACUGGGCGUAAAGCGUACGCAGGCGGGUCGAUAAGUCCGUUGUGAAAUCCCGGGGCUCAACCUCGGAACUGCCUUUGAUACAGCAAGUCUUGAGUUCGAGAGAGGUGGGUGGAAUUCCUAGUGUAGAGGUGAAAUUCGUAGAUAUUAGGAAGAACACCGGUGGCGAAGGCGGCCCACUGGCUCGAUACUGGCGCUGAGGUGCGAAAGCGUGGGGAGCAAACAGG